CGCCGAGGAGCCAGUCUGGAGACGCGCCUGGUGGUGUGCUGGUUGUGGAAAGAGCCGGGCAGCGCGCGAGCGAGCGAGCGCGAGCUAGGAGGGAACGCGACGCGGCGGGGAUUUCCAGACUGGGCUCGAGGGCGGGAGAGGAAGUGCGGGGCGGGGGGAGAGAGAACCAGCCGGGGCAGCGCACCAGGGACUUUCCAGCCGGGGCAAGACAGCUACGUUUGGCCGACCUGCUGCAAGAACAGCAGCGGUCGGGUCGGUAGUGCUGGCGGCCGCGGUUCUCCCCCCCACCUUCUUUUCCUCAGGCGCAAAGUAAGUAGGGGAAGAACGGAGAAGGUGGCCGGCUGUUGCUCUCCUCCAGGCAGAGGCGGAAUCCGGAGCUGGUGGGGAGGGAGCGCUUCCCAAAGCCGAGGCGGAGCGGGAUAGCUUUAUAGCAAGUGCAGAAGAAGGAGCAGUUAAAGGAUACAACAUGAAGUGGACAUACACAGCAUACCAUGAAGCUAAAAUCAGGAAUUAUGACAUUUCUCGAAAUGUAAUGUGUAUACUUAAGAACAUGAC